UUUAUUGAGGCUCCUGGCGCGGACAGCGGCCACUGGGGCGCUGCUGGCGCGGGGAGAGAGGCGCCUAGAGCCGCGGGCUCCUGGCCUCCAGGCAGCCCGAGUCCCCGCCAGGUGAUGUGGGACCUCAGGGAGCCCUGGGGAAAGCAGCGACCCCCGCCUGAGCACCGUGCCUGACCAGGCCAGGCCCCGCAGACCUGAAGGGCUGGGGCCCGAGGGCGGCAGCUUAUACAGUUCUCCCGCACAGGCCGUAUGGAUCCACCCCAGCGGGCUGAGCAUGUGGGGCCGAGGCCCCGGCACAGAGUAGGAGUCCGCCCCUUUAGCACUGUGGGCUGCUCUUGUCAACUCUGGUUUUCCCCCUAGGACCCUUGUCUGAGCUUGGGGGGCAUGGAGACUUGGCAUUCCCUCCGGCACAGAGAGGGGAGAGUGCCCUGCUCAUCAGCUUCACCUCGGCACAGCAAGUGGGCUGCAUAUGGACACGGCUCAGUUGUGUGGGGGAGCAGAGCUGGCCAUCUGCUGUGCGGCUCCCUGCUUUCGCCACUGAUCACCAUUGGUGAGUGGCAACGCCCAAUUCUUUGAGAGGUUUCCUGGCCUCCCUUAACUCCCAACACCCAGCCACACACAGCUUGCUAAACCUAAAGGUGGAGCUGAAACACCGCUUUCUAAACUGGAGCGCACAGCUAGGGGAUUCAGUCUUUACAGAAGGAUCCUGGAAUCAGACAGGACUGCUUGCACAAGGUUCUGAAACUUGGCAAGAUUUGCUUUAGCAUCCGCUCUUGAAAGUGAAGAAAUGUGUGUAUACCGUGGGACAUGAGCUUGAUCUUUCAACAGUGAAGUCAGUGGGAGUUUUGUGAUUGUCUUCAAUGGGAACAGCAUGGAUAAGGCUGAAAAACAAAAUGUACAAUCACACGCUGAUUCAGAUUUCAUCAUUAAAUUGAGAGAUCGUAGCAAUGUA